rnacentral:rRNA from 1 species
AGCGUACACGGUGGAUGCCCUGGCAGUCAGAGGCGAUGAAGGACGUGCUAAUCUGCGAUAAGCGUCGGUAAGGUGAUAUGAACCGUUAUAACCGGCGAUUUCCGAAUGGGGAAACCCAGUGUGAUUCGUCACACUAUCAUUAACUGAAUCCAUAGGUUAAUGAGGCGAACCGGGGGAACUGAAACAUCUAAGUACCCCGAGGAAAAGAAAUCAACCGAGAUUCCCCCAGUAGCGGCGAGCGAACGGGGAGCAGCCCAGAGCCUGAAUCAGUGUGUGUGUUAGUGGAAGCGUCUGGAAAGGCGCGCGAUACAGGGUGACAGCCCCGUACACAAAAAUGCACAUGCUGUGAGCUCGAUGAGUAGGGCGGGACACGUGGUAUCCUGUCUGAAUAUGGGGGGACCAUCCUCCAAGGCUAAAUACUCCUGACUGACCGAUAGUGAACCAGUACCGUGAGGGAAAGGCGAAAAGAACCCCGGCGAGGGGAGUGAAAAAGAACCUGAAACCGUGUACGUACAAGCAGUGGGAGCACGCUUAGGCGUGUGACUGCGUACCUUUUGUAUAAUGGGUCAGCGACUUAUAUUCUGUAGCAAGGUUAACCGAAUAGGGGAGCCGAAGGGAAACCGAGUCUUAACUGGGCGUUAAGUUGCAGGGUAUAGACCCGAAACCCGGUGAUCUAGCCAUGGGCAGGUUGAAGGUUGGGUAACACUAACUGGAGGACCGAACCGACUAAUGUUGAAAAAUUAGCGGAUGACUUGUGGCUGGGGGUGAAAGGCCAAUCAAACCGGGAGAUAGCUGGUUCUCCCCGAAAGCUAUUUAGGUAGCGCCUCGUGAAUUCAUCUCCGGGGGUAGAGCACUGUUUCGGCAAGGGGGUCAUCCCGACUUACCAACCCGAUGCAAACUGCGAAUACCGGAGAAUGUUAUCACGGGAGACACACGGCGGGUGCUAACGUCCGUCGUGAAGAGGGAAACAACCCAGACCGCCAGCUAAGGUCCCAAAGUCAUGGUUAAGUGGGAAACGAUGUGGGAAGGCCCAGACAGCCAGGAUGUUGGCUUAGAAGCAGCCAUCAUUUAAAGAAAGCGUAAUAGCUCACUGGUCGAGUCGGCCUGCGCGGAAGAUGUAACGGGGCUAAACCAUGCACCGAAGCUGCGGCAGCGACGCUGAUGCGUUGUUGGGUAGGGGAGCGUUCUGUAAGCCUGUGAAGGUGUACUGUGAGGUAUGCUGGAGGUAUCAGAAGUGCGAAUGCUGACAUAAGUAACGAUAAAGCGGGUGAAAAGCCCGCUCGCCGGAAGACCAAGGGUUCCUGUCCAACGUUAAUCGGGGCAGGGUGAGUCGACCCCUAAGGCGAGGCCGAAAGGCGUAGUCGAUGGGAAACAGGUUAAUAUUCCUGUACUUGGUGUUACUGCGAAGGGGGGACGGAGAAGGCUAUGUUGGCCGGGCGACGGUUGUCCCGGUUUAAGCGUGUAGGCUGGUUUUCCAGGCAAAUCCGGAAAAUCAAGGCUGAGGCGUGAUGACGAGGCACUACGGUGCUGAAGCAACAAAUGCCCUGCUUCCAGGAAAAGCCUCUAAGCAUCAGGUAACAUCAAAUCGUACCCCAAACCGACACAGGUGGUCAGGUAGAGAAUACCAAGGCGCUUGAGAGAACUCGGGUGAAGGAACUAGGCAAAAUGGUGCCGUAACUUCGGGAGAAGGCACGCUGAUAUGUAGGUGAAGUCCCUCGCGGAUGGAGCUGAAAUCAGUCGAAGAUACCAGCUGGCUGCAACUGUUUAUUAAAAACACAGCACUGUGCAAACACGAAAGUGGACGUAUACGGUGUGACGCCUGCCCGGUGCCGGAAGGUUAAUUGAUGGGGUUAGCGCAAGCGAAGCUCUUGAUCGAAGCCCCGGUAAACGGCGGCCGUAACUAUAACGGUCCUAAGGUAGCGAAAUUCCUUGUCGGGUAAGUUCCGACCUGCACGAAUGGCGUAAUGAUGGCCAGGCUGUCUCCACCCGAGACUCAGUGAAAUUGAACUCGCUGUGAAGAUGCAGUGUACCCGCGGCAAGACGGAAAGACCCCGUGAACCUUUACUAUAGCUUGACACUGAACAUUGAGCCUUGAUGUGUAGGAUAGGUGGGAGGCUU